rnacentral:rRNA from 1 species
UCAUCGAGCUGUGAGCUCGAUGAGUAGGGCGGGACACGUGGUAUCCUGUCUGAAUAUGGGGGGACCAUCCUCCAAGGCUAAAUACUCCUGACUGACCGAUAGUGAACCAGUACCGUGAGGGAAAGGCGAAAAGAACCCCGGCGAGGGGAGUGAAAAAGAACCUGAAACCGUGUACGUACAAGCAGUGGGAGCACCCUUUGGGGUGUGACUGCGUACCUUUUGUAUAAUGGGUCAGCGACUUAUAUUCUGUAGCAAGGUUAACCGUAUAGGGGAGCCGGAGGGAAACCGAGUCUUAACCGGGCGUUAAGUUGCAGGGUAUAGACCCGAAACCCGGUGAUCUAGCCAUGGGCAGGUUGAAGGUUGGGUAACACUAACUGGAGGACCGAACCGACUAAUGUUGAAAAAUUAGCGGAUGACCUGUGGCUGGGGGUGAAAGGCCAAUCAAACCGGGAGAUAGCUGGUUCUCCCCGAAAGCUAUUUAGGUAGCGCCUCGUGAAUUCAUCUCCGGGGGUAGAGCACUGUUUCGGCUAGGGGGCCAUCCCGGCUUACCAACCCGAUGCAAACUGCGAAUACCGGAGAAUGUUAUCACGGGAGACACACGGCGGGUGCUAACGUCCGUCGUGAAGAGGGAAACAACCCAGACCGCCAGCUAAGGUCCCAAAGUCAUGGUUAAGUGGGAAACGAUGUGGGAAGGCCCAGACAGCCAGGAUGUUGGCUUAGAAGCAGCCAUCAUUUAAAGAAAGCGUAAUAGCUCACUGGUCGAGUCGGCCUGCGCGGAAGAUGUAACGGGGCUAAACCAUGCACCGAAGCUGCGGCAGCGACACUGUGUGUUGUUGGGUAGGGGAGCGUUCUGUAAGCCUGUGAAGGUGGCCUGUGAGGGUUGCUGGAGGUAUCAGAAGUGCGAAUGCUGACAUAAGUAACGAUAAAGCGGGUGAAAAGCCCGCUCGCCGGAAGACCAAGGGUUCCUGUCCAACGUUAAUCGGGGCAGGGUGAGU